rnacentral:lncRNA from 1 species
GCUAAAGAUGCUUUUAUUAGUAUCUGUUAUAACACAUCUCAUUAACGUAUUUAAUGUUUUUCAGUUCUGUGCUUAGACCCUCUCUUGUUUGCCUUCCACUUACUUAUCUGAUUCUCUUCCCUCUCUAGCUGGUCUUCUGCCUUCACAUUUUCUCCCCAAAGUUGAGUGUUUUAGGGUUCUCACAGGAGUAAGGUGAAGGCUUGUACUUUACCAGUGUCUAUACCACUGAACAAAAGUGUGGAGUGUCUUGGUAUUUGCAUUUGUAAAACAGUUGGAAUUCAAGAAACAGGUGCCGUUACUGUUUCAAAUGCUGUGCUGUUCAGAAUGGAGGGCAGGAGAUGGGUAAAAUGAUACAGCCAUUAUUACAUCCCCCAUUGUUGCCUAGCACUGUGGCUGCUCACCAGAAUGGGCCUUAGAGACAGCCUUGUCCAAACUCCUCAUGGUUGCAGAUGGUGAAUCCAGGAUCCAGAAAGAUAAAUGUCUUUAGAAGUCUACACAGUUAGUUUUUUCCCCUAGUCUUUGUGUGUUUCUUGGUGGAACUGGAAAAGAGACGUGGGAGAAUUUGGGAGCUCACCUAGAGAUGAAAUUUUCUUGGAGAUGAUCAAGUUACCAGCAAGAGAAGGUUGGACACAACACUUUGUUGAAUAUUAUUGCUGGGUGAGCUGGAAAGGAACCAGUAGUUACAUGGUAGCCUUUGAGUCCUUGUGAUCAGUUACAUUGUUCCCAAACUGCCAAUCUGCUGUCACAGGAUACAUUGUUCCCAAACUGCCAAUCUGCAUGUUCAUGGAGACAGAAGAGAAAGCUGGAAAGUGGCUGGUCCUUUGAUAAUGGGAUUCAAGCCAGACCGAGAGUUUUACUUUCUUUUGCUGGGGGAAUUCGAGAACUACCUUGAAUGUUAUUCCACCCAGAAGAAAAAAGACUUAGAAUUUUCCAACAAAACGACCAUCCUCGGAGAAGCCAGCAGAAACGGCAUAGGAGCAUUUUCUGAACUUCACAGAAACAGGAUGGUAAGGGUGCCCUGCUCUUGGCUGGAUUCCAGAGAGCACAUUUGUAUAAAAAUGUUCCCAUUAUGGAGUGUGACAUCUAUUAAUGGAGCACCAUAUGCACCAGAGCCUCUCCUUCGCCACUGCCACCGCCGCUGCCGCCUCACAACCUGAAGUGACGGAGUAGCUUUAAACUAUCACUAAAAAAUGAAACUAAGUUAAAAAAAAAAAGGAAGACAUCUGCUUGUCACCAGGAGAGAUCUGCAGAGCUGCUUGAUAAUAGAAAAGUCAAGGAAUCCUAUACAAGCCAAGGAAACCCAUCUUGCAAAUAGAAACAUUCCCCUGAAAAACAAGUUUUCAAAAACGUUGGGCCGUGUUUCUUUCCCUGGCAUUAUUGAUGCUAAAGUGGUAUAGGAUCUGGGAUCUAGGUUUUCAUUUGUUUUGUCUUUUAACUUUGUUUGACACAGGGUGAAAGAGUUAAGAAUGCACCACAGGUUGGUAUGUGGGAG